rnacentral:rRNA from 1 species
CCUACGGGGAGCAGCAGUCGAGAAUCAUUCACAAUGGGGGAAACCCUGAUGGGGCGACGCCGCGUGGGGGAAUGAAGGUCUGCGGAUUGUAAACCCCUGUCAUGUGGGAGCAAAUUAAAAAGAUAGUACCACAAGAGGAAGAGACGGCUAACUCUGGGCCAGCAGCCGCGGUAAUACAGAGGUCUCAAGCGUGGUUCGGAAUCACUGGGCGUAAAGCGUGCGUAGGCUGUUUCGUAAGUCGUGUGUGAAAGGCGCGGGCUCAACCCGCGGACGGCACAUGAUACUGCGAGACUAGAGUAAUGGAGGGGGAACCGGAAUUCUCGGUGUAGCCGUGAAAUGCGUAGAUAUCGAGAGGAACACUCGUGGCGAAGGCGGGUUCCUGGACAUUAACUGACGCUGCGGCACGAAGGCCAGGGGAGCGAACGGGAUUAGAUACCCCUGUAGUC